rnacentral:rRNA from 1 species
CCUACGGGAGACAGCAGUGAGGAAUAUUGGUCAAUGGACGUAAGCCUGAACCAGCCAAGUCGCGUGCGGGAUGACGGUUCUAUGGAUCGUAAACCUCUUUUAUACGGGAAUAAAGUGUGGGACGUGUCCUAUUUUGUAUGUACCUUAUGAAUAAGGAUCGGCUAACUCCGUGCCAGCAGCCGCGGUAAUACGGAGGAUCCGAGCGUUAUCCGGAUUUAUUGGGUUUAAAGGGUGCGUAGGCGGCCUUUAAGUCAGCGGUGAAAGUCUGUGGCUCAACCAUAGAAUUGCCUUUGAAACUGGGGGGCUUGAGAAUGUUUGAGGCAGGCGGAAUGCGUGGUGUAGCGGUGAAAUGCUUAGAGAUCACGCAGAACCCCGAUUGCGAAGGCAGCCUGCCAAGCCAUGUCUGACGCUGAUGCACGAAAGCGUGGGGAUCAAACAGGAUUAGAUACCCCAGUAGUC